AAGGAACACCAAAGGCGAAGGCAUUGCACUGGGCUAGCACUGACCCUGAGAGACGAAAGCGUGGGGAGCAAAACGGAUUAGCUACCCGUGUAGUCCACGCCCUAAACGAUGAAUGCUAAAUGUUCGGGGAUUCGACCCCCUGGGUGUUACAGCUAACGCGUUAAGCAUUCCGCCUGGGAAGUACGGCCGCAAGGCUAAAACUCAAAGGAAUAGACGGGGAUCCGCACAAGCGGUGGAGCGUCUGGUUUAAUUCGACAGUAAGCGUGGUACCUCACCAGGGUUUGACAUCCCUUGACAGCCUUGGAAACAAGGUUUCCUUCGGGCAAGGUGACAGGUGCUGCAUGGUCGUCGUCAGUUCGUGCCGUGAGGUGUUCCGUUAAGUCGGGAAACGAACGAAACCCCUAUUGCAUGUUACAAUUUCUCAUGCAAGACUGCCCGGAUAUACUGGGAGGAAGGUGGGGAUGACGUCAGAUCUGCAUGGUCCUUAUACCCUGGGCGACACAGGCGCUACAAUGGCAGAGACAAAGGGUUGCAAAACCGCAAGGUGAAGCUAAUCCCAAAAACUUUGUCUAAGUUCGGAUUGAAGGCUGCAAUUCGCCUUCAUGAAGCUGGAAUCGCUAGUAAUCGUGAAUCAGCCACGUCACGGUGAAUAUGUUCCCGGAUCUUGUACUCACCGCCCGUCACACCAAGAGAGUUGGUAGCUCCCGA
rnacentral:rRNA from 1 species